rnacentral:rRNA from 1 species
UACGAAGGGGGCUAGCGUUGCUCGGAAUCACUGGGCGUAAAGCGCACGUAGGCGGAUCCUUAAGUCGGGGGUGAAAUCCUGGAGCUCAACUCCAGAACUGCCUUCGAUACUGAGGAUCUCGAGUCCGGGAGAGGUGAGUGGAACUCCGAGUGUAGAGGUGAAAUUCGUAGAUAUUCGGAAGAACACCAGUGGCGAAGGCGGCUCACUGGCCCGGAACUGACGCUGAGGUGCGAAAGCGUGGGGAGCAAACAGGAUUAGAAACCCUUGUAGUCC